UCCACGGCCCUCUUUAGGGCCAUCAAAAGUUGAUUUCAGUUAUGCU
rfam:Trichobilharzia regenti genome assembly, scaffold: TRE_scaffold0046504